GUGGAGGAUUUUCAAAGGACAAGCCAAGCAGGAAACUAAGAAAUGAUACUAGGAGGAAAGACAACACAAUACCUUCCUGGGAGCUGUAGAAUCAGAUAUCUCUGCUGGUCCAUAUUUUGGAGUUAUGGAACAACCUGCCCACUCAUUCUGGAAUUGUAGGACUUCUUCCUAAGGAGACUUGAAGAUCAUUGAAAACAGGAGCCAUAUCUGCUCUGCCAACCACCCAACAUGAGGCCUGACUUAGGGCAGGGGCUCAAGAAACCUUGCUGCCAGAGACUGAGGAGGAAGGAAAUGUGCAGAAAUAUGUGGAUAGUCACCGCUGUCUUCCGAUAUUGUAAAACCCCCUUAGAUUUAUGUCUCCUAACUACGCAGUACAGUUUUCUCUAAGGAUUAUGUAAAAUUUUAAACAAAUUCGACAUUUCUAAUAAUUUACAGCACAAUUUUAAGCUAUCUUCAAAGGCAAAAUAUGACAUUUCUCCUAAUUGCACAGAUACUCGGUUUUCUCUUCAGAUCGUAUACAUCUUUCUCCUUUUACUAAUUGCACAGAGAAAAAGAUGCAGAAGAAUCGAAAUAGUGUAGCAAAAUACAUGGUUUUCCUGCCACCGUAGCCCACUAAUUUAGUAGAUUUUUAAUCAGGAUUCUGAUUACUACGUCCUGCUGUCCGUUGCUCUAGGUGGCUGUACCCACAAAAAUGAAAGCAUCUGGGCCAGAAUUCACCAGGUGGAAAGAUGGGACCCAGUACUAG